GGAAUCAAACCUGGGACCCUUCAGUCUGCAGGCCGACGCUCUAUCCACUGAGCCAAACCACCAGGGCUCAGAUAAUACUUUUAAUCAACAUGAGACCUUGGACAGUUCAGGCUGGUUUCAUCCUUUUGAUUUACUACAAUGAUGUAACCUGGGUGGGGGGCUCUGUGGUUAGGACAUCGCCUGAUGCACCAAGGUUGCAGUUCGGUCCCUGGGCAGGGCCCACUCAAAACCCAGCCAGUGAAUUAUAAACAAGUGGAAAAACAAACCCAGGUUUUUCUCUCAAAUCAGUCGGAGAAAUGAAAACUACGAUGUGUCUCUCCCAGCCGUUAUGACGCUAUGAAAGACAAGGUGGCCUGCCCUGGCCGGUGUGCUCAGUGGAUAGAACGUCAGCCUGUGGACUGAAGGGUCCUGGGUUCGAUUCCCAGUCAGGGCACAUGCCCGGGUUUCAGGCUUGAUCCCCAGUAGGGGGCGUGCAGGAGACAGCCUAUCCAUGAUAUUCUCUCAUCGAUGUUUCUCUCCCUUCCUCUCUGAAAUCAAUAAAAAAUUUUAAAGUAAUUAGUACAUUUUACAAAGGACAUAAGCCUGAGACGGUGCUCUGAGCUGUUUGCAUUUCACGGCUCCUCUUCUCUCGCCUCCCGUGGUGUCACCUGUGAAGAGGGCACAGCCCCCCUCACUGCCCCUGAGCCCCUGGGCCUGUGGCCUCGCUGCUGCUCCAUCAGCUGGGUCUGCCCCUCCCAGUGGUGGUGGUCCGAUGCGGCCAGGCUCAGGCCUUCGGGCUGGCGGCCUCCCCGGCUGGGAGGAGCCAUGAGAGGUGGUGUGGGAGGGGAGGGCCCAUGGGCAGAGGACCCAGCUGGCUGGGCAAAGCUGCCUGGGUCCAGCAGCCCCGGCUGAGUCAUUGCAGCCCUUCCCUCGUGGAGCGGGCACGCUGUGCGGUCAGCCCUGCACGAGUUCCUGACCUGCAGGGUCAAAGGUGGCCGGCCCUGCGCCCUGCUGUGCUGAGCCGCUGGGCACUGGCGUCCCCCCAGGCGUUAGGAGGGUUCCCCGCACAGAGGACGGCCCUCUAGUCACGCGGUCACUUCUGUCGGCCUGGACGCCCGUGGUCACUGCUUCGCUGGCUCCCGGCCCUGAGCUGCCCGGUGGCUCCUGUGCCCCUUUGACAGCUGUCACUCAUUAUGUCAGGACUGGCUUCCCUGUUGACUCAGCCGGUUCUGCAGGCCCCUCCCCCGCGGCCUAAAUAAGCCAUUUCCCUAAACAAACCAAGACCUGGGUGCUCCCGCCUCUGCACCUCCUCAGGUGAGGCGAGGAUUACCUGUGUGCACGGGCCCAGUCGCACACGUGAUGACCGUGUCUACGAGGCGCCAAACGUGAGCUCACAUGAUGGCCGAGGCGGGGCCUGUGCGAGCUGACCCUCUCCUGUCGGGGCCACACUUGCAUGAAGCAGAUCCGUCACCAAGGCUACGCUGGCCGGCACAUCAAAAGGCAAACCCCCCAGGUCUGGCGUCGGGAGCCACGGCUUAGCCACCAGGACAGCCCGACAGGAAAGCCAGGAUGUACGUCCCGUGUGGGCACCGGACGUUGGUCUGGAGGCGGCUCUCCUCCCGGCCCCGGAAUGUGGGCGGACAUCUCCCCACAGGCAGAGGCACCGCAGGUGCCGUCUGGUACCAGCAGGUGUCGAAGCCGACGGGUGGGGAGGGACAGCAAAGGACCACGUCUGGCCUGAUGGGCAGAUUGGAGCACAGAGGCCAAGCCUGCGCCCCAGGCCCCGGCGCCUGCAGGCCUGACCGUGGUCACAAUGUGCAUGAUGGUCCCCCAGCGGCUGGGACAGCCGGUCCCCGGAGCAGGCCAGCCCCUGCCCCUGUGGGACACUCCGGGACUCAGGCCUGGGCCAGCAGAGCCCCUGCCUCCUGCAAACCAGCAGGACAAACCUGUACGAGUGACCGAGCGGCCGCCGCCGGGAAGACCGUCAGCGCCGGCAGG